CGUGUAGGCGGCUUCGCAAGUCAGAGGUGAAAUUCCCCGGCUCAACCGGGGACCUGCCUUUGAAACUGCGGAGCUUGAGGCCGUGAGAGGAGACUGGAAUUCCCAGUGUAGCGGUGAAAUGCAUAGAUAUUGGGAAGAACACCAGUGGCGAAGGCGAGUCUCUGGCACGGUUCUGACGCUGAGGCGCGAAAGCUAGGGGAGCGAACG
rnacentral:rRNA from 1 species